rnacentral:rRNA from 1 species
GAUGAACGCUGGCGGCGUGCCUAAUACAUGCAAGUCGAGCGAACGGACGAGAAGCUUGCUUCUCUGAUGUUAGCGGCGGACGGGUGAGUAACACGUGGAUAACCUACCUAUAAGACUGGGAUAACUUCGGGAAACCGGAGCUAAUACCGGAUGAUAUUUUGAACCGCAUGGUUCAAAAGUGAAAGACGGUCUUGCUGUCACUUAUAGAUGGAUCCGCGCUGCAUUAGCUAGUUGGUAAGGUAACGGCUUACCAAGGCAACGAUGCAUAGCCGACCUGAGAGGGUGGUCGGCCACACUAGAACUGAGACACGGUCCAGACUCCUACUGGAGGCAGCAGUAGGGAAUCUUCCGCAAUGGGCGAAAGCCUGACGGAGCAACGCCGCGUGAGUGAUGAAGGUCUUCGGAUCGUAAAACUCUGUUAUUAGGGAAGAACAUAUGUGUAAGUAACUGUGCACAUCUUGACGGUACCUAAUCAGAAGGCCACGGCUAACUACGUG